AAUAGAAAUAAUUUUCAAAGGGUCAAUGUAGCUGAACUCAAUUACGCUUCUUCUUCACUCAUUCGGAGCUUCAACGUCCUUUCAAUUUCAUUCUUCCCUCUCAAAAUCGCCUCCUUCAUUAAUGGCAACUGAAGAACCUUCUUCCUCCUCGCCGCCCCUCCAUGGCGGCGCUGCUCUUAAUCCUCCUCCUCCUCCUCCUCCUUCCACUGACAUAGCAGCUUCAGCUUCUUCCGCUAUUGAUUUUCUCACUCUCUGUCACCGCCUCAAGACUACGAAAAGAACUGGAUGGGUUCAGAGGAGAGUCAAGGAUCCGGAAUCCAUAGCAGAUCAUAUGUACCGAAUGGGAAUAAUGGCACUCAUUAGUUCAGAUAUUCCGGGCGUUGAUAGAGACAAGUGUAUAAAAAUGGCCAUUGUACAUGACAUUGCCGAAGCAAUUGUUGGUGACAUUACCCCAUAUGAUGGGAUUUCAAAGUCGGAAAAGCUUAGACGUGAACAAGAAGCAUUAGACCACAUGUGCAAGUUACUUGGUGGUGGAUCAAGAGCCCAGGAAAUCAGUGAAUUGUGGAUGGACUAUGAAAAUAACAGUUCACCAGAAGCUAAAAUUGUGAAGGAUCUUGAUAAGGUGGAGAUGAUUCUUCAAGCUUUAGAGUAUGAAAACGGAGACUGACUAGCAUCACGCAUGAAAGGGUAACUUAUUCACAAGAUUCCAGCUCGAGCGAGGAAGAAAAACCUCAGCAUCAAAGAGAGGAACUAGUGGGCCAAGAUAGGCAACUAAAGAAACAACAAACUAACCAGCUAAUGUUGAUGCUUCUAAGAGAUUAAAGGACCUAGAAGCUUGACUUACACAGAAUUGUUCGAGCUCACUCAAUUCCGGAGAUCCCUUGGAAAUAUAGUUGGGAAGAUAACAAGAAAGAAGUAAGCAGAUUCGUCUUACCAGGUUAACAAGGCAAAGAGGUGGGAAGAGGAAUGAAUUGGUUGAUAGCCUAGAUCAGGAUAUGGAAACUAAGAAAGAGCAAGGAAAAGAUUUGGAUGAGUUUUUUCAGUCAACUGCAGGAAAGUUUCAGACAGAACUGGGACGAGCUUGGGCAUCUGAAAUAGUAUCAAGGAGAAGUUCUGUCAAUGAUGGCGCAACACCUAAUAUUUCAGAGAAUUA